rnacentral:rRNA from 1 species
AAACUUUCAACAACGGAUCUCUUGGUUCUGGCAUCGAUGAAGAACGCAGCGAAAUGCGAUAAGUAAUGUGAAUUGCAGAAUUCAGUGAAUCAUCGAAUCUUUGAACGCACAUUGCGCCCGCCAGCAUUCUGGCGGGCAUGC